AUUGAACGCUGGCGGCAGGCCUAACACAUGCAAGUCGAGCGGUAGCACAGAGAGCUUGCUCUCGGGUGACGAGCGGCGGACGGGUGAGUAAUGUCUGGGAAACUGCCUGAUGGAGGGGGAUAACUACUGGAAACGGUAGCUAAUACCGCAUAACGUCGCAAGACCAAAGAGGGGGACCUUCGGGCCUCUUGCCAUCAGAUGUGCCCAGAUGGGAUUAGCUAGUAGGUGGGGUAACGGCUCACCUAGGCGACGAUCCCUAGCUGGUCUGAGAGGAUGACCAGCCACCCUGGAACUGAGACACGGUCCAGACUCCUACGGGAGGCAGCAGUGGGGAAUAUUGCACAAUGGGCGCAAGCCUGAUGCAGCCAUGCCGCGUGUAUGAAGAAGGCCUUCGGGUUGUAAAGUACUUUCAGCGGGGAGGAAGGUGUUGAGGUUAAUAACCUCAGCAAUUGACGUUACCCGCAGAAGAAGCACCGGCUAACUCCGUGCCAGCCGCCGCCGUAA
rnacentral:rRNA from 1 species